rnacentral:tRNA from 1 species
AAUGAGGUAGUUUAUUAAAGAAUAUUAAGUUUGCGUCUUAUUGGUGGGAUGUUAAUCUCCCUUAUUA